rnacentral:rRNA from 1 species
UUCCGUAGGGUGAACCUGCGGAGGGAUCAUUACCGAGUUUACAACUCCCAAACCCAAUGUGAACGUUACCAAACUGUUGCCUCGGCGGGAUCUCUGCCCCGGGUGCGUCGCAGCCCCGGACCAAGGCGCCCGCCGGAGGACCAACCAAAAACUCUUAUUGUAUACCCCCUCGCGGGUUUUUUUAUAAUCUGAGCCUUCUCGGCGCCUCUCGUAGGCGUUUCGAAAAUGAAUCAAAACUUUCAACAACGGAUAUCUUGGUUCUGGCAUCGAUGAAGAACGCAGCGAAAUGCGAUAAGUAAUGUGAAUUGCAGAAUUCAGUGAAUCAUCGAAUCUUUGAACGCACAUUGCGCCCGCCAGUAUUCUGGCGGGCAUGCCUGUCCGAGCGUCAUUUCAACCCUCGAACCCCUCCGGGGGGUCGGCGUUGGGGAUCGGCCCUGCCUUGGCGGUGGCCGUCUCCGAAAUACAGUGGCGGUCUCGCCGCAGCCUCUCCUGCGCAGUAGUUUGCACACUCGCAUCGGGAGCGCGGCGCGUCCACAGCCGUUAAACACCCAACUUCUGAAAUGUGACCUCGGAUCAGGUAGGAAACACCAUUCCUU